UACGUAGGGUGCAAGCGUUGCUCGGAAUUACUGGGCGUAAAGGGUUCGUAGGCGGUGCAGCAAGUCGGGAGUGAAAUCCCGGGGCUUAACUCCGGGACUGCUUCCGAAACUGCUGUGCUAGAGUGCGGGAGAGGCGAGUGGAAUUGCGAGUGUAGCGGUGAAAUGCGUAGAGAUUCGCAGGAACACCAGAGGCGAAGGCGGCUCGCUGGACCGCAACUGACGCUGAGGAACGAAAGCUAGGGGAGCAAACAGG
rnacentral:rRNA from 1 species